rnacentral:rRNA from 1 species
CGCUGGCGGCGUGCCUAACACAUGCAAGUCGAGCGGGGUCCAUCCGGUAGCAAUACCGGGGAAGACCUAGCGGCGAACGGGUGAGUAACACGUGAGAAACCUGCCCCGAAGUCUGGGAUAACCCGAGGAAACUCGAGCUAAUACCGGAUGUCUUCUUCUGAUCGCAUGGUCGGAUGAAGAAAGAUUUAUCGCUUCGGGAGGGUCUCGCGGCCUAUCAGCUAGUUGCGGGGUAACGGCCCACCAAGGCGUCGACGGGUAGCUGGUCUGAGAGGACGAUCAGCCACACUGGGACUGAGACACGGCCCAGACUCCUACGGGAGGCAGCAGUGGGGAAUAUUGCGCAAUGGGCGAAAGCCUGACGCAGCAACGCCGCGUGCGGGAUGAAGGCCUUCGGGUUGUAAACCGCUUUCAGUGGGGACGAAUUCAGACGGUACCCACAGAAGAAGCCCCGGCCAACUACGUG